UAAAUGACUAUAUAAAACCGUCAAGUUGGAGACUAAAAUUAUCAUUUUCAAACCGAAACUUUCGCAGUAUACUGUAUCUUCAAAUAAUUCAGCAAUCAUGAAGAUUUUCCACUACUUAGUACUUUUCGUCGUAAUGCUGACUAUUGGUUUCAAUGCAGAAGUAAAUGCUACUUCACCACUUAAAAAACGUUCUCCUGAGGAACCAUGUCCAUUUCCAGAGUGCGAAGGUUGAAUGAGAAAUCACAGUUAUUACAAUUACCAUAUAUUGAAAAAUGUAUUUGUGAAAAUAAUAAUCUGAUGCAAUAAAUACAUAAAUUAUUAAACAACCAAUAAAAA